UUAUCUUUUAUUACUCGCUCAGUAUAAACCUUUUUCUCACUUUUUUUAAUUUAAAAAUGCUGAUAUUUAUUUUUUGAUUUUUUUAAUAAAAUCAAAUAAAUUCAUAAUUUUGAUGAAUGUUCAUCACCCUUCAUCAAUUUCUUCAUCUCUUCCUUAAACCAAAAAUAAAAACACUUUAUGGGAAAAAGCACACCACAAAAAAAACAUCCCACAAAAAAACAUCAAAGAAGCAGAACUAAACUCUCACCAUCUUCAAAUUCAUCCAUUAUCCCCACAUCACAACCACCAUAAAUCCAUCACCACCACCUAUAAACAGAACAAAAGAAAAAACAAAAAACAAACAGAGACGAGAAGAAGCAGAUCGAACAAGAAACGGAAAAGGAAAGGAGAAAGAAGUCGCCGCCGUUUCUAAACAGAACCUCCUUGAAUCCAACCAACCACCGCGAAUUCGGCCGAACCACCAGCGACGAUUCCGGCCGACCACCGCCGCGGUCUCUCUCCCUCACGCAGGCGAAUCUUCUCUCUCGCGGUCACUCCCUCACCCUCACGCGUUCUCCGGCGGUUUUAUUCUGUGUUUUCAUGUUCUUGUGUUUUUGUUUUGGAUCUGAGAAUGGGGUGGUUUAUUCUUGGAUCUAGUUUGCUUUGACAGUUGACACCCAUGGGCCAUGGCUGAAUCUACAAGUUUUAUUAAGUUAGAUCUACAAGUGGAACAAGAUUUCUAGAUUUUUAUUUAUUUUUGGGGGGUUUAUUUUGAUGUUUUUUGUGUUGAGUUUUCAUGAACAUAUAUGAAUGAUUGGGUUUGCACGAAGGUGAUGAAUUAAUUUAUGGAUUCUUAAUAGAAAAAUAUUUUAAAAUUUAAGUUUAUUAAUAAAAGUAUUAUUUAAGUGAUUU
rnacentral:lncRNA from 1 species